CCUCCGCCCGCUGUGGACGCGCGAGCGGGCCGGGCGGCGGGUGCGGGCCUCGCGGCCACGGGCUCCCCGCUGCCCGGCUCCCGCGGCCGUCUGACGGCGGUCCGCACCGGCGCGCGGCUGUUGGACCCUGGCUUUGCUGCCUCGAAGCCGAGGAGUGUCUGCUCGUUCAGGAAAGCGUCUCGGCGCCUGCUCUUCCGCCGUUGGGGCCGCGGUGCCGGCGCUGGGGCGGUGACAGCCCGCCGGCAAGGGCCUCUCCUCCGAGGCCGCCGCUGCCUUGGCCUCCCCCAGACAUCUCGGGCAGAAGUGGCCCCUCGCGCGCUCGGUGCGCCGCAGAAGCCGGCGUGGCGUGACCCCCGGACACGGGCGUGGCGGCCCCGCGACCCCCACGAGGUAUUCCCGGGUCCCCUGGCCGUGACUGGCCUCGCUGCGCUGGGAGAAGCGGGAAGCCGCCCAGCUCUGCGCGCUCUCUAAUUGGGAAAACUUCAAGAAAGGGCCGCAGAGAAGCCACUUCAAUGGCAAAGCAGAGGCAGUCCACAGUGACAGCUUCUUGAAGCAGGACCCAGGAAGCCACCACCGCGGCGACAGACAGUGAGGCAAGAGUCAAACAUUCCCCAGCAGAUGGCCGAGAAGCCCGGAGGAGCGCGGGACUGCGCCCAGUUGCCCUUGGGUUCAAGCCAAGAAGAGAGCCUAGCUGCCCUGGAGGGACCAGAGUGAGGCCAGCGGGAGGCGACGCCAAGAGACCCCAGGAACAUCCCUGGAGGAAAACGUCCCGAAGCGAGGGACCAGGGACUCUGGAUGGUUGGAAGCUCUCCAGGCAGGGCCCGUCACCCGGCAAAGCAGAGCAGGUGCCUAGGCGGAGAGGGGGCUUGGUUCCCUGGACUGCGGCGGGCGGGAGAAGAGGGGCCCGGGAGCGCCGGGCCCCGGGAACCAGCAGGAGUUUCCCACCAUGGCAGGGUAGAAAAAUGGACCGCAGCCCCCAAGCCUGGAGUGCCGCGAUGUCGCAGUCCCCGAGUGUAGGAGGAAGUGAAUUACAUGCGCGUGCACACACGUAAAUAUUUUAUAAACCUCCCCUUAAUUAACCAAAUCAUUUCCAUUAUGCCUCCAAUGUGAUCAACAGCGACGGCGUGAGGGUUUCCAGGGUUUAUAAUUUGAUGUCACCAGACGGUUGCUCGGGGGCAGAGGUACCGUCGCCGCGCCAGCUGCACGCGUAUUUAUUUGUUUUUCUACCGCGUUCCUGUAGGGCCCCAUUAUGCAGCUUUUAAUUAGCUUGUGUGUGUAGUUCACCGGUCCCGAAUCAGUGCCAUCCCGGAGCAAGGCGGUGUACAUCCUCGCAGUACAGGUGUAGCUGCCCGCCCCGGAACGCUAGGAAACGCGUGUCUGCCUCAGGAAUGCGGGGCCGCCACGCAGCCCGCGGCGGCUCUCCGCAGCCAAGAGGCGCAGAUCAAAGCCGGCGGGGACUUCGGCGGCUCCCCCGUGAGCACCGCGGUGGCUGCGGGUCCUCAGGCCCUCAGAGGGAGACGGGCGAGCUCGGCUUGGGGGACCAAGUGAGUUUCCGGCCUUGCCCAAGUCCUGAGGUCCUUGCUGCGGCGGCGGCGCGGACCUCUGGCGCGCGUCCCGCUCCGGGCCUGGUGCGCGGGCCGGUCGCGCGCGGAGAACCGAGCUGCGGAGCAGAGCGCCGUGGCUUCCUGCCGGUCCGAAGAGUCCUGUCACCGGACCCAGGGCGCACAGCCCGGAUCUCCGGAAUCUCCGGGCAGGAGAGCCCCCCACCCCGGCCCUUGCGCUGGCUGUCUCUUCCUUCUUGAAAUGACCUCUGUGGAGCGCCUGUAAAUCUAUCCCUCCAGCCACGGGGGAAUUCUUUUAAAGCUUUCUUUUUGGUCAGGAAUAAGAGAUUGUUCAUCUUUAACUAGACCACAUAGAAAUUAUGAUUCAACAACAGUGUGCAUUUAAUUAGAGUAAUCUCACUCGAAUUUAAUUACUUAAUGAAUUAUUUGUUUAAAAGGUACAACGUCUUGUUUGCCAAGUGCGGCGCAGACCUCUGAUAAGAACUUCUGUUCUAAGGACAUUAUGGCUUAAAAGCAGUCAUGUGCUAAGGUUUGCAUUUUAACUCCUUGAGUGUGGAACCGUUAACUGUUGAGGUACUAGUCCAAGGAAAUCUCUGACAUUUACGGGUGCAGAGAAGGUGCACAGAGGUUCCGUUCUGUUGUGUGCACAGGUCCCUUUGGAAAUUAGCAUCCUCCAACUUUUGUCGUGUAAGUCUAUUUUUAAACUUACUGCAUUCCGCUUUUGGUAGGCAGUCUCCUUUUUUCUGGUGCAAGAUGACAGCUGUCUACCAGAGGACUCAUUUUAUUAGUAUUUGCAGCGAAGCGGCACAGCCUUCAGGAAAACUCCUGCCUUGCUCCUCUGGGUCCCUGAGGCAUCCACAGUAGUGGCAGGAAGAUUUUCUGGGCUUAUCGAUCUUCCUCUUCCGGGAUUGGAAGCUACGAAGGCCCAUUCUUUGACCUUAACCCUUCGUUCCUAAACUGUGGAAGAAUUCCACUUCCUCUUGUUUUCCAAAAGCAAGCCAUGCCAUCCUUUCCGGGAGGCUCUGAAGUUGACUUGUCUCCGGGUGAUGUUAAGGAUUGACGGAGGCAGCUAAUGCAAGGUUCAUAACCAGGGGCCAUGGAGGAGGGUGACCUGCUGGGAUUCUGACACGAUUUCUGUGUCUUCUGUGGUUAGGUUGCUGUAGAAGCAGACAGUUUCUUUUCCUCCGCUAACCUGCAUGACGGACAGAACCUUCUAUCCUGGCAUGAUAGAAUUUUAACAGAAAAUGCCUGUAUUGGGUGAGGGUGGGUGCGGGAAGCCUUUCCCCCAUCAGUGAGAGAAAAUAGAAACUAGGAACACCUUAAACCCAGCGGACUCAAUUCCACUGUCAUUUUCAUUAAUAUUUCAUUAAUCAAAUAAGUUACCUUAAUGCACAUUUGGGCAUUAAUGCACUAUGGCCACAUAAAUAUUAAAUAUUGUGAGUAUAGUAUCCACCUAAAGAAGGAAUGAGCUUCUAAGAGAAGUACGACGUGUUGAUAAGAGUGAUUAGCUCUUUGUUUCUUUUCAGAAUCCCGGAUGUUUAUGGCAGCCCUGCGUCUUGUCCUGCAAUCAGAGUUCUUAUGGUGGUUGAGUUAUCGAGUAAACUUAAUCCCAUUCAGUUAUGGCUACAGGAGCCCCUUUCUUCCAAAGAAUCAGAUCAAUGCAUAUUUUACACUAUUUAUGAAUUUACUUCACAUAUUCUACCGAGUAACAACGGACAGUAACAACCAGAAAGGACAUGAGAUAAUAACUCAGGAAUGAGAAUACAUUUCUCAGAUCUGAGCAAAUCCAAAGACGAUUUGCUAGUAAAACCCUCAAAGGGAAUGAUAUGUGUGGGAUGGAAAAAGGUGAAACACUAAACGGCAUAUUUGUGUUUGACUCCUGGAGAACUGUUUGAACUUUCGACCAGAUAGGAUUCUACCUCCCAUGACUUCCUAGCAGCCCUCAUCACUUAUAUUAUAAAAGAUUCAAUCUACCUACUGGAAAUAACUUUUAGAAAUAGCAGUUGGGAAAUACCCACCCACACAGCUUCCUGGGCAGAAAGUGUGGUGCAUUCCGGCUUUCACAGACUGUGUGCCCCACAAGUCACUGGCGUGUAGGUUAAAAUCGGCCCAUUGAAGGGACAUCUGUGCAACAAACACGCCCAACACAGGACGCUUUGGGAGCUCAGGGGAAGGUUUCUCUAGGUUUGGAAGAUAUUUUGGUCUAGCAGCAUUUUCCAGGACCAUUCUUGUGGAAAAACAAAAUCCAGGACAAGUGUCCUCCGUUGCAUGUCUGUCUACACCUGCUGAAUGACCAGCAAAUGUGGGGUGGAAUUAAUGGUCUUCAUAACCUGUGGCCACACCUUUGAAAGGCUGAGCCCAUGGCGGCCCUGACUUCAGCCUUGGCACGAGAUGGGUUGUCUGAGCUCCCCGUGACCUUGGAAGUUAAACCACUGGAUAAUUCUGGGACAUCCUGGAACAUACACCUUGAUACCAAAACCCCAAGGAUGGUGAAGUAUUUACUGCUUUAAUCCAAGUUUCUUCCCGGUUGGCGUAUUGUUCUCCUGAAUCUUACUUGGGGAUUCAUGGAGUGUUCUGGAAUUCUCCUCUGAGAUUCAGUAGUUACCUAAUACUUUUGCUCAUGGGGAUCAUCAUCAAAUAACCCCGCAGGAAGACGGCGUGGCUUCCGUUGAGAGCUCUCCCAUUUGCUGUGGACUGGCGUCCGAACGAGGUGAGGGACGCUGUGGCGUAGAGUCUCAGCCGUGGAUUCUGUAACUGAGGAGGCAGGACCCGUGUGGGCCACAUCCUGACCAUGUGGGAGACCCCGGUGGACACCUGCACUCAGCUAGUCAUUUAAAAACCGAACGCGGGCUUUGUAGAACACUGAAAAUAAUGUGAAGAGUGAUUUUUUUUUUUUUUAAUCACCUUUAUGUGUGCUGAAAACCUAAAACCUCAGGGACUUACUGCUAUGGAUUCUUGGCCCCAGCUUCACCCAGAAGAUGCCAAGGGCACACAGUUUCUCCCUUAAGUGGGGUUGCAUAACAUUGGAAGAGUACUGACGCACUAUUUAUUUUAUUUAUUAAGUGGCGACCACAAGCCAGGCGUGGGACCGGGCCAGGGAUCCAGCAUUCAGGGGCUGUGUGGGCAGGAACGUGAGGUGGGAACAACCUGUUUGUUGCUGUCGAGGACUUCUGAGUGCCCGAUGCCCUGAGAUAAGAUUCAGCACGUCUGGUGCCUCGCAUGGAGAGGUCACCCAGGACAGGUUGUCAGAGAAAGGACUAGUUCUGUGAGUUCUGAGUGUCCCGGGCAGCCCUGGAGUGGACAUCCAGGGCUUGGCCCCAGCUCUGCCCCCGCCAGAUGCCUGGGAAGGUGGGGCGUCUGCAGCUGAAGGAGCUGCCUGUCCCGUCCUCCUCACACCUGUCUCCCCAUCUGAGAUUGUGGCACCCGACUGGGCAGGGCCCCCAGGCUGCCCUCGGGGCACCUCGCACAAUCCCACACACUGGGCAGCAUGAAAUGACAAAAGUCCAUUUUCUCACAGCUCCAGAGGCUCCCAACAAGAGACCCCGGGGUCUUGCUCCCUCCAGACACUCAGGUGAGGACCCGUCCUGCCCCUCCCAGCUUCCGGUGGCCCCAGGUUUUCUUAGGGCUUGUGUGUCCAUCAUUCUAACCACUCCUCAUGAUCUCCCGGCCUUCUGCUCUGUGUUGGUGUCUCUUCGCCUCCAUUUUUCGUAAAGACACUUGUCACUGGAUAUACGGCCCAUCCAGAGGACGCAGACUGAUCUCCUCAUACCAAGAUCCCUUGAUUGGUUGCAACUGCAAAGACUUUCUUCCCAAAUGAGGUCAUGUUCACGGCCUCUGUGGAUUAGGAUGUGGACACACCUUUGGGAGCCGUUGUUCAACCCAUGACAGGGCCUGACACUUAGUGCUUCGCGUCCCGGCACAGGGAGUCUGACACAAACCCACCAUGAAUGGGCCUGCAUGGACAGGAAGCUCUGGCCCGUGGAGACCCACGGGGCCUGCAGCUUGGGGACGUCCUUGGGGUGGGGGCGGCAAGGAGAGAAUGGCAUGAAGCCUGGGUUUCUGGACGAUGGCAGGAGGACGGUAUAGGAGAGGCCGUAGGAAAGAGCCGUGGCCCGGGGCCCCAUCAAGAACAUCCAACCGGUGCACCAGGACGGCACACCCUGAGACCCGAUGCCAACGUGUGAGAGUCACAAGUGAUCAUAGUAAAGAGGGUGAAACCACCAGAUUUUCACAUAGUCUCAUUAAGGCUCCCCCAAGGGACAAGAGAGGAAAGUGGAGCUUUAACGUCCCUGUACUUGCUGUCACCAUGUAGGGACCUCUUCUUCACGCUUCCGCAGUCAACAAUGCCGUGAGCUCCUGGGGCUGCUCUCACGCGGGAAUGUGGAAGUGUGUCCGAGCUAUUCACAGCCUCUGGCCAAGUUGGGUGCUGUGGGAUGCACUAGACUCCAAUCAGAGCCAGAGCACAGAGGGCAACGGACGGUGACACAUGUCCAUUGUGUCCAUUGACACCGUGUGGAGCUCGGCACAUGGAACCAGGAGUGCACAGCUGGUGUUUGCUAGGUCGGACCCAGUGAAGGGCUGGGGACCUCCCUCCCAUCUCCCAGCUCUGCCUUCAUUCACGUUGUCCUGUUGUCAGGAAGGCUCUGUCCCCAUGGCCCGAAGACACCCUUCUCCCACCCCCAGUCCCACUGCACCUUCACCGACCACUUUCCCCAUGGAGAAGGGAGAACACUCUCCCCCGAUGGCAGCAACCAGAGCCGCCGCAGUCAGCCAGCUGUCCCCCAGCCAGGACCUGGCACAGACACGGGGGGCUAAGUCAGGGCUGUUCUCCAGUGAAAGGUGAAAUGGCAGAGUGCUCUGCCCUGCCCCGGGGUGCCGCUGGCGUCUCCCUGUGCCAGACGCGUACCCGGCUGUCCAAGUCUUUGCCGUCCAGACAGGGCCUCCGAUUCCAGUGGACUCAGUUCUCCUUCUCGACCCUUCACGGAGCACUAGAUCUCUGUUGCGACGUCGGUCGUCAUCCACUCUUUACUGAUCGGCAGAACUGUGAUCGUAUCCCUUCACGGACCAGCAACAACAUACUGGACUCGCUCGGGCUCAAGCCGAACUGUCACUCUCAUCCCAUGGAAGAACCUGAGGGGUGCCGUUUGGGGUUGGUGAGGCGGGUCCAUGCCGUCGUCCGUGCAGAGGCUCCUCCUCGUGCCCUGCUCCGUCCCUGCGGCCGCUUGGAGUUGCCUCACAGCUUCAACCUAGCUGCCGCUGCGCCAAGCAUCACACUCUCACCCAAACGCAUUCCAGCAGGGAGAAACACAGACCGAAGAAGAGGAAUGUCCUUGUAUCUGAGAGAGGGAUCCUGUUCUGGAGUCCCCUGGCAGAGCUUUCCAUACGGCCCCGUGACAGGUGUGGUCCACUGCCGUGCCAGAUGCAGAGGAAGUUGGGGCAUCGAGCCAGGAAUGAGUCGUCCUGAGCAGCUGCGUGUCCCAGCCGUGGCUGGAGCUGGGCGUAUUCCUCCCCACGGUGGCCCUUAUGUCUGCUCUCACAUUUCCAGACUCUGCCUCUGGGAACAGGAUGGCACCUCUUACUUAAGGCUGGAUGGGGCUCUGUGACUUCUGGAGCUGAGAAACAUGAACAGAGGAACACGUGUCACUGUCCAGAGCACCUUCAAGGGCUGGCGUAUGAUUCAGGGUGCAGAGAGCAAGCUUCCUCCAGGCUGGACACCUGGGUUAGGAAGGUGAGCAGAGGUCCUGUGUUCUCCAUAAGGGACAUGCGAUGUGAACGAGAAAGAAACCUUUCCUGUGUGGGUCACUGUGAGCCUGGAAGUGUGGGUGACCCGUCCACUCACCACCAUCCCUGACUCAGAAUUGCCAAGCUUCAGGACAACUCCACCCCCUUCAGCGGGGGCAUUUUCCAUUCUAUUUUCUCCAGCGGAAGGUGCAGGACGUGCAAGCAAACCCAGCUCCCUUUCUGGUGGCAUCUUAAAUUGGGGGUACAACAGACUUUCCGGACGUUUGCCUCUUCAAGCUGAACUUGGCAGUAAUUCAGUUUUAUGAAUUCUGACGUGAAGUCUGUCUCCAGAUAUGGACGAGCAGAGCUCGUAGAGAACGGAGAACAGGUGUGGCUGUGUGACACUAGGGACACCUCCUGGCUUAAGAGGUCCAAGAGUCCCCUUCUGACCAACAUGGGACUCAGCCAUUGGUGGGAUGUAGCCGAUGACUCAUCGUUCACUUAUUUGUUUUGAAAAUGGGCAACCUCCUCCACAAGCACUUAAAUGGGGAAAACGUAUGUUUGGCUAUUUAAGUCUUAUUUUGCUAGCAAUUUAGACUUUGGUGACUUUCUAAAAAUACCAGGUGACGGUUGUGUCAAAACGAGAAACUUCGAGUGAGAUCUGAGGGUCACCGCUUCUUCUCCAACUUCGUUUUCAUCGAUGCUGGAUUUGGGGGGGUGUUUACUUUCUACGGGAAGGAGCGGCUGCUGGGACGGAGGCGCAUUCACGGGCUGACAGCCAGAGGACGUCGGAGGUUUUGACAGGGUAGAGGGUACCCCUUCUGCACGAAGCCACACUCCUUCUUGACGCCUGUCUUGAAGGCGAGGCUGUGGCAAGACGGGCUGAUGCCUCGGGCAGGAUGUCAGUUGGGCAUCGUCUCCCCUCCAAUUACCCAGCAGCCGAUAGAAAAUACAAUAAAAUAAAAUUUAAAAUUUGACAUGAUUCACUAAGUUAGUCAUCACAAGUUUGCAUUGGAUUCAAUUUUGAAGCCAUUGCCCAGCCCGCCCACGAGGAAGGAAUUAACUGUGCUCUGGGAUGCCACGGGGAGCAUUCCUAGCUGCAGGGCAAUCAGAUGGCCCCGGCGGGCAGGACAGAACCCGCCAGGAGGGACCAUCUCACUCCACCUUCCAGAGCUUCCAGAUGUGUGCCCUGCUACAAGGUGAGAGGGAGAUACUCUCAACGCCCAUCACGUCCUGCCAUUGGGUCCCAGUACUUGGUUUGUGAAGCCACGGUCAUGCUUAAUAGAUGGGUGUCAGGGUCGAAGCCACUCUUGGAACCAGCCUCUUUCGGAACCAGACUUUCCAGGGGACACAGUGUAGAGCUGUGCACAGCGAGCGAGGUUCAGACUACCCAGAAGGGAUUCACAUAGUGAGCCAAUAGUCAAUUAAUUUACUCAGCCGAGAAUGCACCUAAGUGAUAGCCUCAUGUCUUGAAAGAGGCAGUGCCCAGAGCUGUCUGUUAGACUCCCCGGGCACCACUCAUUGUUCCAAAAGCCCGUUUUCUGGACGACAGAGUGGUGGACUUAAUGAAUUACUGCCAUUGAUUUUUUUUUUUCCCUCUCGGUAAGAAUAAUGUAGGCAUGUCUAAGAAAAUAUAGGAAAUUAUAAAAAGAAAAAUAAUCUAUCAUCACAGAAUGUUCCAGUGGACAGUGUUGUCUGGACUCACUCCCAGGAGGUGGACUGGGGAGGAUCAUCUGGGUCAAAUGGGGGCCUGGUUCUUUCCGGACGCCAGGCAACAACUGGUCAUGCUCUUCUCCAGCUGGCUUCUCAGUGACCCCAAGUAUGGCCCCGUGGCGUUCCCUUCUUCGGGGGAGUAUCUCCAGAGCUUCAGGUCUUCAGGGGAAGAAGUGACAGCAUCCACAGUCUAAAGGAGCAGAGGUUGCCCAGCGGGCAUGGCCUCCCACCGGAGGCUUACCUGCCUUCAGAGGUCCGUCCAUCCUGCAUCUCGAUAAGGUCAAGAAACCCUCGGAGCUCUGCCUGAAAUUCAAACACAGCCCAUGCUAACCUGACGUGUUCAACAGAAGGUGCCAUUUCUCAAGGAACCUGCUGCUUAGUACCACUGACAACAGUUUUGGUGAUGGUUUCCUCCAGGCACUGAGAAAGGGGAAAAUAACUGAAUGGGAAAGUUACUGUAUGCUAUUAUCAUUCAAUUAUCACUAGUGCUUUACUUUUUUUGGGAUGUUCUACCUCAUUUAAUUCAUCCGGACCACAGUGGGGGGGACACAGAAUGCUACGGGCUGAGUGGGUGAGGAAAGGGGUUUCGUCCUGAGUGGGAGGUUGCAGGCAAACGAUCAGGUGGAGGCUCAAACCCAGGUGGUUCUACUUCUUAUUUUUUUUAUUUUUUCAUCAGAAAUUUGAUAAACCCUAAGAUAAAGGAUCUCUCGAAAAUAAACCAUCGGAUUUGGCCUCCAGUGAGAAGAUGCGAAAAGGUGUUUUAUUUCAGCUUUCGGAGGACUGGCGACUUCCUAUUCCGAUUUGUUGUUACAAAAACACCAGAGAGGGACUCCUAGUCUCGCCUCUGGGUCUAUGGUGCACAUUCUCAGCCCUCUGUUAGGGCUCACGUGUGUCCUGAAGCCGGUCCCGUGGGAUGGGAAGGGGCACUGAAUCUCCCCACGUUGCUCCUUGGAGGACCUAGGAGGCAGGAGCCCCUCAGAGGCCGGUGGCCAAGAGGCCCAGAGGAAACGGCAUCAAGAACCAAAACUGACGUCCUGGACCAGUGCGACAGGAGGGACGGAGUGCAGGUGGGGCAGUGUCCGUGUGUGCCCAACCCCUCUUGCAACACAGCAGAACCACCGUGAUGUGGGGGUCACCUACGUUGGCCUCUCCUCCUGCCGCAUCAGUAGCCUAGAUGCUGCAGAAAAAGCUAUUUAUGGGAACGAAUUUCUCCUUUGAAAUGUGGGCCCAGACAACGGAUCAGUGUCUCUCCCACUGCCAGUUGGAGGACUGUCUAAUGCCUGUUUGGCGAAAUUUGAUCUUGGAGUUGAUGAUGAAGCGGUAACAAGGAAAAUUCUAUUAAUUUACGUACGGAGAGCUACGUGGUGCAGGCGCAGGACAUGAGACCUUCUCCAGCACGUGGCCUUCUUGGAGGAGAGUGGGAUAAGCCAGUGUGGGCAGGCUUUGGGAGAACUGCCCUCAGGUGUGAGAGUUACGGUUUGAGAUGCACAGGCCCACAAGGGUCCCUGUCAUACCGGGUCACGGACAACUGAGCCACGACAACCGUGAGGGUGACAGGCUGUCUGUUUUGCUCAAGACUUUCCAUGUUUUCCCAUUGGACGUCUUGAGUCUUGAGAGCUCCCUCCUUCCUGGGAAAAGGAGGCUGCUGGUCAUGCCUUGUAUCCUGCCAAGUGUGGACAAGUCCUUAAAAUCUUUCUGGGGAAGUGUGGUUUCUUUGUUUGCUUGUCUGGUUGGUGGAUUGCAAAUGAAUGCUCAGGAGAUAAUUAGCCUCUUACAUCCCAUAAACUGAUGGCACCUACCCAGAACUCUGGCUUCGGGCCUGGGGGCGGGGAUCUGCCCGAGGGAGGUCUCAGUGCAGCACCUGGCGGGGGGAGGUGUGGUGGGAGGUCGGAGGGAGGGGGUUCCGGCAAGGUGGCCACUCCAAUCGAAGGUUUAAAUGCAGGUUCAGCAGCAGCCCAAGGGGAGACCGUGAGCAGAAAAGAAGCAUGCGGUGUGGCCCACAGUGCCACUAGCUCAUCUCAGUCCCAGGCGUCUGAGUCAUGGAGCAGAGGGCCGAGCCGGCCGGGAGACACGUCCUAGGUGUGUUUACAGAGAGCCUGAGAACAUUCUGUCUUCAAGCAAAUGCUCUUCAGAGUCCUCAGAGUUCGUUAGAGAGGGGGAGAGGAUUAAAUAAGUUCCUCUGAGAUCUGAAGUGUCCAGGAGCAGGAUCCCGGUUUGGCUCUGUUUUGUCAGUGUUGAGCGAUGUCUUUGAUGUCUAGCGCGCGCUGAUCGUCUCGCCUUCCUGAUGCAGGUUCUCUGCUAGAAGUCGACAAGGGACAGUAAACGAACAGUGGGGCUUUAAUUGCAUAUAAUUACUCGGUGUGCCAAAGUAUUUUACAAUUGAGAUAAUUUGCCUGAAAGUGUGGGUAUUUAGUGAAUAGAAUUUAUGGUAAUUCCCUUAUUUUCCCCCAACUGCCUAGUAAUCUUUAUAACAAGGAAGUGGAAGGACAAUAAGAAUCCCGAAUUGAAACAAAGCCAUACAUAAAAGUGCUUAAAAUGUAUCUGUUUGUCUUUGUUUCAGUAGGAAUCCACAACAAAGUUAAUCGGACCAACAAGGAUCAAUAGAAAAGUGACUGAAGAUUCGCGUUUCUUUGAAGCGGGUAGAGGCAAGGAAAUAAUCCUUGCAAACAAUGGAGGCCUUUAAUUCACGGCUGCGGCACUGAGAGCCAUUGUGAAGUGGGAUUUGCUGGGUUUCAGGUUUUAAUUUGAACUGUACAAGCAGGUGCAGCGAGGAGGCCGAGCCCCUGCUCCUACACUCCUGCCACGCCCUGCAAGUCAACCUCCCUGGUAAUCCUGCGCUGGGUAAUGGAGACGCCUGCCUUCUGUUCUGUUUUGUUUUAAGCGGCUACGAUGAACGCAAUUCCUAUGCACUCUGUCUUUUUCACUUGGGUCCGUCCUCAGCUACUUCUCUAACCAGGGAAAUGGGAACAAGGGAAGGAGGAGAACCAGGGGAGGCAAGCUCAGCUUCAAACCCGGAAAACAAAACUUCACUAAAAAAUAUUCUCAUUUAACCAUAAUAGGAUGUAGACUGAAACAUUCUCAGAGCCACUGGGGCAGAAAAUGCUUCUGAAGUGAAGGGAGCUGGCUUUCCCAUCAGCCACCACCCAAGCCAUGGGACCAUUAGGAGAAGUCCCCCUGCCCUUUAUGUUGUGUGGGUAUUUUCCCUCCCAGACUCAGACACACUGUCCAUUGUAAUUCUUGACUGUAGAUGAUGGAUAACGAGGAGAGAACUGAGAGCCUGUGGCUUGGUCAGGGUAUCACACGGUGGGGGCACUGUGUGCGGCCGACGGGAGACACUUAAGAGUAGGGGAUGUGACCAAAUGCAGGCUCUCUCAGGUCCGGAACUUCAUCGCAACCAAGCUUCAGAGAUGCUGCCCGGAGUCAGACGCAGGUGCUUCUGGGCAUGUAGACUGUGCUCAGGAGCUCAGAGCACAGAACACAGCAAGGGCCACACGAGAGGUGCAGCGCUGUGAGCUGCCCCUAGGCUCUGCUGUCUCCCCUUAUCUGGAGCCUAUCGGGACAUGGGCUUAGAGCUGCUCUGGCGGGAUGGUGUGCGGUCUGACGUGCCAGCGACCGUCAAGGACAAGCUGGACAGCCACGUGCAGAGGUUCCGAGGACCUGGGAGCGGAGGGGUCAUGGGGGUCGGCCGGCAGCUUUGGUCCUGGGAGCCGUGAAGCCAGUGUAAUGGGAGUGGAGGUUCUGGGUGGUGCAGGACACACGUGCAGGGCUGAGGAAUUCGCCCAACAUCCUGCGGGCUGUAAGGUGCUCGGAGGGCCACCUCAGCUGGGAGCAAGGUGGUGAACUGGAUGUGUGGCUCAGCAGAGGAAGGGCCGGGGAGGUGGGGGAAGGGUUCUGCUGGGACAUUCCAGGGCCGAUCAGACCCAAAUUCUCCUUUGUCUUUGCAUACCUUCCUGAAUUUGGGCAGAUUAUGUAUAUCUCCUCUGAAUCAUAACUUUAUUAUUUAAAAUGGAAAUAAAAAAUAACCUUC